rnacentral:rRNA from 1 species
CAGUACGCGUCCAAGCGAAAGUGUUAAGUUAUCCACCUGGGAAGUACGUCCGCAAGGAUGAAACUCAAAGGAAUUGACGGGGGCCCGCACAAGCGGAGGAGCAUGUGGUUUAAUUCGAUGAUACGCGAGGAACCUUACCUGGGCUUAAAUGUAGGAUGACUUCGGCCGAAAGGUCGUUUUCUUCGGACAUCUUACAAGGUGCUGCAUGGUUGUCGUCAGCUCGUGCCGUGAGGUGUCGGGUUAAGUCCCAUAACGAGCGCAACCCCUAUCUUCAGUUGCCAGCACGUAAUGGUGGGGACUCUGGAGGAACUGCCUACGCAAGUAGAGAGGAAGGUGGGGAUGACGUCAAAUCAGCACGGCCCUUAUGUCCAGGGCUACACACGUGCUACAAUGGCCCGUACAGAGGGCAGCUACCUGGCAACAGGAUGCCAAUCUCUAAAACGGGUCUCAGUUCGGAUCGGAGUCUGCAACUCGACUCCGUGAAGUUGGAUUCGCUAGUAAUCGCGUAUCAGCAAUGACGCGGUGAAUACGUUCCCGGGCCUUGUACACACCGCCCGUCAAGCCAUGGGAGUUGGGGGUACCUGAAGUCGAUAACCGUAAGGAGUCGCCUAGGGUAAAACCGAUGACUGGGGCUAAGUCGUAACAAGGUAGCCG